rnacentral:rRNA from 1 species
GCAGUAGCCGCGGGAAUACGAAGGGUGCAAGCGUUACUCGGAAUUACUGGGCGUAAAGCGUGCGUAGGUGGUGGUUUAAGUCCGUUGUGAAAGCCCUGGGCUCAACCUGGGAAUUGCAGUGGAUACUGGGUCACUAGAGUGUGGUAGAGGAUAGUGGAAUUUCCGGUGUAGCAGUGAAAUGCGUAGAGAUCGGAAGGAACAUCUGUGGCGAAGGCGACUAUCUGGGCCAACACUGACACUGAGGCACGAAAGCGUGGGGAGCAAACAGGAUUAGAUACCCCUGUAGUCCCUGUCUCUUAUAC